rnacentral:ncRNA from 1 species
GUUACAAGAAGACCUCCUAACUUGUUGUAACAAAUAUCCUAAACUUUUCUUUUUCAUAAUAAUCUCCCUUA